rnacentral:rRNA from 1 species
GACGUAGGGCGCGAGCGUUUGUCCGGAUUUAUUGGGCGUAAAGAGCUCGUAGGCGGCUUGUUGCGUCGACUGUGAAAACCCGCGGCUUAACUGCGGGCUUGCAGUUGAUACGGGCAGGCUAGAGUUCGGUAGGGGAGUGUGGAAUUCCUGGUGGAGCGGUGAAAUGCGCAGAUAUCAGGAGGAACACCCGUAGCGAAGGCGGCACUCUGGGCCGAUACUGACACUGAGGAGCGAAAGCGU